GCCUGGUUCCUGUUGUAUGUGCAAUAACAGCUUGAUUACCAGCAGCCCCUGAAGUACUUCAUCUAUUCUCUGGGCCAGGAAGGUCCCAGAGAGGUUCUGCUAGGACUUGACCCUAGUCAUCUGUUGCAGUAGGAGACUGAGCUGGAUUCUGGAGUAACCAUCUAUCCAUCGCUCGCUGUCUUUGAGAAGGAAGAAGACUGCAUAGGGGGCUGGGAAGCUUCCAGAGGACUAGUCUUUUUGGAAGACUCAUUUUCCCAGUCAAAGGGCUGUAUUGCUUCUCCACUGGGAAUGUGGCCUUGGAGCAAGAGUCUGUGCUGUCAUGGAGGUCCCCAGCCUCUCUUUAGGCAUCCUCAACAGAAUGGGAGAGUCCAAAGUCCUUUCAAUUCGUGGAGAUGGUGCCCCCUGCUGGUAAGCCGACCUAACCUCACCACAAUGAAGGUUGCCCCGUUGUCUCUACAGCAGACUGUCAGGUCUCCCUUUCCUGUACCCUUGCCGAUUUAGCUAUCAAACCUCAUUUUAGAGUCUGCUUUCUGAGACCACUUCUGGUAGAAACUUCUGGAAAGUGGGCUUUAGUUCAACCGAUUUUUUGAACACAGGCUGCCUGGAGCAGUGGAACUGAGAAAGAGGACAAUGGCCAGGUCUCCCCAGAGAGGAGAGACGCCAGAGGUCCACACUUCCUGGCAGCCACGGGAGCAAGGGCUGUGAUCUGAAAGAGCAUCUGGUGACAUCUACAGCAUCUGCCAGGCCACUGUUCGAGCCCCUCACCCAUCUAGUCAGCUGACAUGUCUCGGGUAUCCUGAGGAGACAUCCAGGGUCCCAGCUGCUUCGUGGGAGCUUGCAUUCCGGACAGAUGAGGACAGGUCAGGACAGGUCAGGACACAGCCACGGCAGCUACUGGAGCAUCUGGUCAAAGCUGUCUAAGUGGGACCACGAGGUCAGCAGGAAUGAAUGACAGGCUUAUGGGCAUGGAGGGUAUGGGUAUCCAGGCAAGAGAACUCCCCGUGGGCUUGGUUGAGGAGAAUGUGUAGAGUACUUGGAAGCCAGGAAGACUAUGAGCUCCCGUGGUGUCUGAGGCGCCUCAGGUCUUGGCAUUGGCCUGAGUCCAUCUUCUGAUCCUUGCCUGCCAAGAUUUCUCACUCCAGCAGAAAUCUUCAAGGUCAUAGUGUCCUGAUGGACCUGUAUGCCUUGUCCUCGAUAAUUAUUUGGGAGGGCAAAUAGUUGCUUAGUUAAGCUGACUUUGGACACUGGUCGACUAGACUUUUCUGGUAAGUGUUGGCCUAGGACUUUAGCAGCAGAUGGGUUUUGACCCUUUAUUUGAGAAAUAGGAUAAAAUGUCUUUGUCCCUCCCUCCUACAGAGCAGAGUGCUCUGUGAUCAUUAGUUUUAACUGUUUUCUGACACAAUCUGCAAUUAUCUGGGAAGAGAAUGUUAGUGUGGAAUUGUUUAGAUCAGGUUAGUGAGUGGGUGGUUAUCUUUUUUCAUGACAACUGCCUUUUUAUUUAGUAAGGUUGUAACUAAAAUAUAAUUGCACGACUUUCCCUCCUCCCUUUCCUCCCACUGGCCCUUAAUAAUUCCUCAAACCCUGCACAUGUUGCUCCUCUUCAAGUUGCUAGCCUAGUUUUUGGGGGGUGGGGUUGUUGACUUUUUUUUAAAUCAAACUAAUAAAAUUUAUUUUAAAAU
ensembl:lincRNA